GCCCGAAGGCUCGGCCAAGGUGCUACCUGCUUCGUGGAGCAACCCAGAGGUCUCGCUCUCCUCCUCCCCCAGCAUGGGGAACAUCCGAAGCUGCUGCAUCUCCUGGGCCAGGAGGAUCUUCUGCUGUAGAAGCGUGGAUGAAGGCAAAGCCUACGAUCUCACUCACGUGGAGGUGGGAGCAGUGACUAGACAAGACAGACAGCCCAGCUCCAGAGGUGAGUUCAUUCCCUCCUGAGUGGAGGGGUCUUUCUUGACUACUUUUUGGCCUCCUGGAGGAGAGGGGAUCUGUUUCAGCGCUGCUAACGUUGCUUA